rnacentral:rRNA from 1 species
AUACGUAGGGUGCGAGCGUUGUCCGGAAUUACUGGGCGUAAAGAGCUCGUAGGUGGUUUGUCGCGUCGUCUGUGAAAUUCCGGGGCUUAACUCCGGGCGUGCAGGCGAUACGGGCAUAACUUGAGUACUGUAGGGGAGACUGGAAUUCCUGGUGUAGCGGUGAAAUGCGCAGAUAUCAGGAGGAACACCGGUGGCGAAGGCGGUUCUCUGGGCAGUACCUGACGCUGAGGAGCGAAAGCAUGGGUAGCGAACAGGAUUAGAUACCCUGGUAGUCCAUGCCGUAAACGGUGGGCGCUAGGUGUAGGGGUCUUCCACGACUUCUGUGCCGUAGCUAACGCAUUAAGCGCCCCGCCUGGGGAGCACGGCCGCAAGGCUAAAACUCAAAGGAAUUGACGGGG